UAGAGACCUGCGCACCCGCCAGGGCGUGAGAGAGACUACCCGGCGCGCGGUGACGCCCCAGCUCGCCCACACUUCUGCCCCGUCCCGCCCAUCGUUGCGCGGCCGCGGGCCAAUCAGAUCGUGCCUUUACUCUACGCCCCCGGCUCCCCCGAACUUCUGUCCUCAUUUCAGGGCGACUUUGGGAACACAAUAGUCGACUCGCCGACGUUCCCUUAGACGCGUUGCCAUACGUCGUCACCCAUAGAAACGGCUUUCCGCGGGGCAGACUCCAAGUCUCGCCUGUGUGAGCGGGCAGGGGUAGCAGGAAAGGCUGUUUUUCAUUUCCAAGAGAAAACCGUCACCCCGCCCACCUCGAACCUCCUCCCAACAUCUCAGGAUAGAAACGCCGCGCUCAGGUGAAUGAGAAAUGUUCUGAUACAGGAAAGAGGAGUUCGUGUUUCUUUCAGAAGGUGACCGUUUUCCUCCUUCUGAGGUCACGAGCUGUCCGUCCGAUGCCCAGAAUUCCGAGGCCUGAUGUGGCGUGUUUCCGGUAGCUGGGCUCCUCGGAGAGCUGUGGGAAGAGGCGCGGGCGACCGGGGGCGUCAGCGAGCCCUGUCUUCGCCUGCCUUCGCCGGCGUGGACUCUUCCCAGUGCCCGUCUUCCCCCGCGAAGUAAUAGUGUCCUGUAUUUCCUGACUGUAAGAAGAAUAGUGCUUUUAAAAAAUGCCUGCUCCCUGUAAUAGCAGCAGUAGUUCGAGAGUACAUACAUGUUUAUAAAAGAAACUUAAACUCUCAUUCUUGCCACAGUGGAUAAUACUAUUAACAUAUUGCUACAUAAAUUUAGAAUUUUCAUACAUACACGUAAAGGUGUUUGGUUUUUUAAAACAGAAAAACGUAAGCGCGUUAUCUCCCAGUAAUGUCUUUGCAGGUAAAUUAAAAUAAUUACAUAUAUAUUUAUAUU
rnacentral:lncRNA from 10 species